UGAAAAGAUAAAAAGUUUUAUUAAACAAACCUGGAAUCAACAGUAUUAUUACAUAAAUUAGACAGCAGUAAAAUUUUCCUAGGGCAUAUGUACAAAUCACAGUGAUUUCCAUUGUGCAACAAACAGACAGGAUUAAAAAUAGGCACUCCCUCCCCGACCCGCCAUGAGAAGGUGGGGUCACCCCAUGGGGUUCCCAGUUCUGGCUCGCCAAGGUGCACAAACCUGCAAGGCACUCUGCCUGUGUGCUGGCAUCCGGGCGGCAGUCACAGGGCCCCAGAAGCACGGUGGCAACACGGUGAGGCUGCCCAAUGUUCAGCGCAAAACAAGAAUUCAGCUACAACAGCUGAGCAGAGCUCAACAGCCAUCUCACAGGAUAAGGACCGUGGAAAGGCUUCAAAUCCCAUCCGCUAGAACACAAUUGUAAUGCCUUUUACAUACAGAACAGACGUGUCCACCAUGGAAGAUCAAACUAAGCCUCAACAGAACCUCCCGACACACAAUAAUUUACAGAGAACCUGACAGGGCAUUCCCCUGUUAUUAGGAAGGACUCUUCUGCGGGGUGCAAGGCCAUAAGGUUUGCAAAGCAAACUUGAUUAUGAAAAGGCUUGGUGAAAAUACAGCCCCCCCCACCUUCACCAAGACACACACCCCGCCCCAAGAAACUAUCGAAAUGCAUUAAGACACCUGGUUCAUGUGCUUUUCUUCUUGCUUUUGUUAAGUGAAUCCCAUUCCUUUAAGUUAGACUAAUUAGAAGGCCUUCUUGCCUCCGUCAGCAACAGAGAAAAAAACAGUGCAUACGACUCCUCCAAUGUGUGUAAAAUGCAUGCUAGGUAGAUUGAAGGAAAGAUGAGAGGAACCCGGACACCCCAUUUCAAAUCUCUACAACAGGAGAAAUCAAAGGCUGCAAGGACUGUGUAGACCUGAUGCAAAGUUAACUGGCUACAAAAAUAAAACCCAAGCCAGUGCUAUCUUGCACUCUGUUCACUCAGUAGGUGGAGCCAUGAAUGCCUAUGACAUUCUGGUGUGGUAUUUGUGCAGCCUGAGGUGCACCCUGGCUACAGAGUUGAGCCUUGGGGUCUUUAACAGUAUUAAGCCAUAGUUUCACAGUUACAAUGGUCCAAAGAACUAGAGGCCACGUAGGUCAAACACAGAAAUGGCGAACACAUCACGAACCACUCAACUGUUUGGUUCCACUGGUGAUUUUUUUUAAUGAGUAGUGAUUUCAAAUGAUUUGGUGUUUUUGUUCUUGUUUUUGCUUUUUCUUCGAAGCAAACAAAUGAUUUGGUCUUUAAGUGUGGACAGAAAGAAACAAAACGCUGAAUGAGAAAUUCACUAACAAGUGAUUGUGCAGUUGUUUGAUGGGCACGGAGAGGGAGUGGGGCUGAACAGCAUUUUGAGGGGACGAAGCGCGCAAUCUUACCCCACUGCUGGGGGGUUUCUGCUUCUUAUUCUAUCAUGCUGACAGCAAAUAUAAUGUGCCCAUCACUGGCUAUAGAUACGUUUAGGCUAAGCAGGAUUUAGACUUCUGUUGCAAAGGAAUUAGAAGAAUUCAGUAGAUACAGUGUAUACUAUUCGGUUGUGACUUUAUUUUCUUCCUGGCUUUAUCAAUGCCUAUGAAAGCAGGCUGGUGGCAUUUCCCUUCAGAAAAACAAGACUUGCCCCAAUAUACUUCUUGUUGUAACAUAUCCAUUUCCUAAACAUAUUCUCUUAUAGUAUUCCAAUUUAAGAAAAUACUGCCAACUCAUAAAAUUACAUGAAGCAAAGUAAAUUUGUAAUGUUUUUCUGAUACAAAUUUUGUGAUUAUUAUAAUGAAUUUUCCUCCACAUUUUGCACGGUGAUUGUUUCACAUGAUCAUCUAUGAGAAAAUUUUGGAAUGACCACCCAGGUCAACUAUUUUUAUUUUUUUUAUUUUUAUUUUUUGAGAUGGAGUCUCGCUCUGUCGCCCAGGUUAGAGGGCAGUGGCACAAUCUCGGCUCACCGCAGCCUCGCCUCCCGGGUUCAAGCCAUUCUCCCGCUUCAGCCUCCCGAGUAGCCGGGAUUACAGGCGCCCACCCCCACACCUAAUUUCUGUAUUUUAGUAGAGAUGGGGGUUUCGCCAUGUUGGCCAGGCUGGUCUCGAACUCCUCACCUCAGGUGAUCCGCCCACCUCAGCCUCCCAAAGUGCUGGGAUUACAGGCGCGUGAGCCAUGGU
rnacentral:lncRNA from 1 species